rnacentral:rRNA from 1 species
AUGUCUACGGUAAUCUUUUUGCAGAAAGCACUGAUCGGCGGAUCGGGCUCAGUUAAGCUUGUUUAUGACAGGCGGGGCCUGUUUUUUGCGUACGUGGCACCGUCGGCCGUCCCGACAGCCGUUACACGGCGUUUGACGGUGCCAUCCCCCUCCACCCCCCCUGAAAAGGCCGGUCGCUGCCCCCACUCCCUACUCUGUCUCGCUGCUCUCCUCUCGCUCACUCCUCCUCCCAUGUCUUGCUCCUCUGUCUUGCCCGCCGCCGCGUCGCCGCGCCCCCGCCACGUCGGCAUGGUUUCUUGGAGCGAUGGGUCCGAUAGCAGCGAGAACACCGUGGAGUACGCCAGCUCAGCUUCUGACGACGGCAUCAUUAAGAUCCCUGCUACCACUGAAGACUCCGAUUUCGAGGGACCUGAAACAGAGUUGGUUGUUCUCUGCCAUGAACAUGGGAAGGCCGCAGAAAGGCGUGUUGCUUUCAAAGGAAUCCACACUGGCCGGAGGUUUCUUUGCUGUGCUGAGAAGGAAGUAGAAACUGUGGGUUAG